GAGAGUAUAGCUCAUGUGCAGAGUGCGUGCCUAGUAUGCAUGAAGUCCUGGGUUCAACCCCCAGUACUUCCA
rnacentral:tRNA from 1 species